rnacentral:rRNA from 1 species
GUGCACGCUGGCGGUAGGCCUAACACAUGCAAGUCGAACGGCAGCACAGUAAGAGCUUGCUCUUCCGGGUGGCGAGUGGCGGACGGGUGAGGAAUACAUCGGAAUCUACUUUUUCGUGGGGGAUAACGUAGGGAAACUUACGCUAAUACCGCAUACGACCUACGGGUGAAAGCAGGGGAUCUUCGGACCUUGCGCGAUUGAAUGAGCCGAUGUCGGAUUAGCUAGUUGGCGGGGUAAAGGCCCACCAAGGCGACGAUCCGUAGCUGGUCUGAGAGGAUGAUCAGCCACACUGGAACUGAGACACGGUCCAGACUCCUACGGGAGGCAGCAGUGGGGAAUAUUGGACAAUGGGCGCAAGCCUGAUCCAGCCAUACCGCGUGGGUGAAGAAGGCCUUCGGGUUGUAAAGCCCUUUUGUCGGGAAAGAAAAGCAGCAGGUUAAUACCCCGCUGUUCUGACGGUACCCAAAGAAUAAGCACCGGCUAACUUCGUG